rnacentral:rRNA from 1 species
AUUAGGAAUCUUGCGCAAUGGGGGCAACCCUGACGCAGCGACGCCGCGUGGAGGAGGAAGGCCUUCGGGUUGUAAACUCCUUUUGUAAGGAAGAAACAAAUGACGGUACUUGACGAAUAAGCCCCGGCUAACUCCGUGCCAGCAGCCGCGGUAAUACGGAGGGGGCGAGCGUUGUCCGAAGUUACUGGGCGUAAAGCGCGCGUAGGCGGGUUGCUAAGUCCGCUGUGAAAGCCCGAGGCUCAACCUCGGAGGGUCGGUGGAUACUGGCAGCCUUGAAGGUGGUAGGGGGAGAUGGAAUUACCGGUGUAGCGGUGAAAUGCGUAGAGAUCGGUAGGAACACCAGUGGCGAAGGCGGUCUCCUGGCCCACUCUUGACGCUGAGGCGCGAAAGCUGGGGGAGCGAACGG